AACGAACGCUGGCGGCAUGCCUAACACAUGCAAGUCGAACGAGAUCUUCGGGUCUAGUGGCGCACGGGUGCGUAACGCGUGGGAAUCUGCCCUUUGGUUCGGAAUAACAGUUGGAAACGACUGCUAAUACCGGAUGAUGACGAAAGUCCAAAGAUUUAUCGCCAGAGGAUGAGCCCGCGUAGGAUUAGCUAGUUGGUGUGGUAAAGGCGCACCAAGGCGACGAUCCUUAGCUGGUCUGAGAGGAUGAUCAGCCACACUGGGACUGAGACACGGCCCAGACUCCUACGGGAGGCAGCAGUGGGGAAUAUUGGACAAUGGGCGAAAGCUUGAUCCAGCAAUGCCGCGUGAGUGAUGAAGGCCUUAGGGUUGUAAAGCUCUCUUACCCGGGAUGAUAAUGACAGUACCGUGAGAAUAAGCUCCGGCUAACUCCGUGCCAGCCGCCGCCGUAA
rnacentral:rRNA from 1 species